AUACGGAGGGUGCAAGCGUUGUUCGGAAUCAUUGGGCGUAAAGCGCGUGUAGGCGACCAACUAAGUCUGAUGUGAAAGCCCGGGGCUCAACCCCGGAAGUGCAUUGGAUACUGGUUGGCUAGAGGACGAGAGGGGGAAGUGGAAUUCCUGGUGUAGGGGUGAAAUCCGUAGAUAUCAGGAGGAACAUCCGUGGCGAAGGCGGCUUCCUGGCUCGUUUCUGACGCUGAGACGCGAAAGCGUGGGUAGCAAACAGGAUUAGAUACCCCUGUAGUCC
rnacentral:rRNA from 1 species